UCGGGGAUGGUGUAAUGGCAGCACGGGUGGUUUUGGUCCACCAAGUCCGGGUCCGAAUCCUGGUCCCCGAG
rnacentral:tRNA from 1 species